CAGUUAUUAGGGCAAGAAAUCAUAAACUCAGGAAAAUACAGACAAAACUACAACUCUGACAGUCGUUGUUAACUCACCUUAGUGUCUGUUUCCAUCUGAACAGGCUUAUCCACUGGCUCAGGAACACCAUUUUCAGCUCCAGGGGCUUCAGUUUUAGCAUCUUGCAUAUUUACAUCGGAAUCAUUAGCACUCGGUGGCACAGAAUCAACAGGAGCCUCGUUUGUUUCCAUCUUGGUCGGUUUCUCCGCCGACUCUUUCACAACUGGAACUUCCACUUCUUCCUCUUCCAAAAUCUGAUACAAAUAUCAAGAAACUUCCGUUACAUUCCAAAAUUUGGAUUUGCACGAUCA
rnacentral:lncRNA from 1 species